ACUGAAUAGAUACCAGGUAGUCCUGGCCUUAAACGAUGGAUGCUUGGUGUCCGAGGUUACAUAGUCCUCGGGUGCCGGCGCUAACGCAUUAAGCAUCCCGCCUGGGGAGUACGGUCGCAAGACUGAAACUCAAAGGAAUUGACGGGGACCCGCACAAGCGGUGGAGCAUGUGGUUUAAUUCGACGCAACGCGAAGAACCUUACCUGGGCUAGAAUGCUCCUGACAGCCCCAGAGAUGGGGUCUCCUGGGUAAAACCCAGGCAGGAUGCAAGGUGCUGCAUGGCUGUCGUCAGCUCGUGUCGUGAAAUGUUGGGUUUAAGUCCCGCAACGAGCGCAACCCUUGUCAGUAGUUGCCAGCGGUUAGGCCGGGCACUCUACUGAGACCUGCCGUUGAUAAACCGGAGGAAGUGGGGAUGACGUCAAGUCCUCAUGGCCUUUAUGUCCAGGGCUACACACGUGCUACAAUGGCAGGUACAAACCGCUGCAAACUCGCAAGAGGGGAG
rnacentral:rRNA from 1 species